ensembl:lncRNA
GCCUAUUUAUGUUAAGGAGAGCCCUUGUUCAUAUAUAUAUGAUGUCCGAAUUUAACCCAGCUGCUGAAGGGUGGCAAAACACGGCAAAGACCUACCUGUCCAGUCGCUGCCUGCUUAUAAAAACACUACUGCCACUUUAAAUGACAAACAGAUUUUUUUUUCUCUGCUUCCCACCCCCUUCCCCUCAGUGGUAAAAGUGGAAGAAAGUGUGCGAUUUACAAAGGAAAAAAAGACUUGUAAAUUCCUCUCACACAAAAAGGGAAGGAGAAAGCACUUUCCACAGUUCCUUGAUUAGCCCACGGACAGAGGAAAUAGCAGCCUUGUGUCACCCUUCGGAGAUCCAACGAGGUAUCCCCUGAUAUACCGCAGGUCUUAUUUGCAAGAUGUGGUAUGCAGUGCACUCCUCCCUCAUCACGGCUCUCUAGUGUUCCCUCUCCCAGUCAGAACAACCCAGACGGGCUCUACUCCUCUUAUCAGAUGGAGCCAGGCAGGCAGGACAGGACGGGGCCAGUGUGGAUCCAGCUGCUCCCAGGAGCAGGGCGCAGUCCCACUUAAUAGGUCUUCCCGGCAUCCCAGGCCUCGCCCCACUGGCAUCCCAGUCACAGCCAGGCAGGCUACUCCGUGGGUGGCACGCCUUGGAAACAGGCGGCAGAGACAGAGGAGCAGGUGAGGGGAUCUUCUACACCAGGUGAAGCUAG